rnacentral:rRNA from 1 species
AACGAACGCUGGCGGCAGGCUUAACACAUGCAAGUCGAACGCCCCGCAAGGGGAGUGGCAGACGGGUGAGUAACACGUGGGAACCUUCCUCGUUGUACGGAACAACUCAGGGAAACUUGAGCUAAUACCGUAUACGUCCGAGAGGAGAAAGAUUUAUCGCAAUGAGACGGGCCCGCGUCGGAUUAGCUAGUUGGUGGGGUAACGGCCUACCAAGGCAACGAUCCGUAGCUGAUCUGAGAGGAUGAUCAGCCACACUGGGACUGAGACACGGCCCAGACUCCUACGGGAGGCAGCAGUGGGGAAUCUUGGACAAUGGGCGCAAGCCUGAUCCAGCCAUGCCGCGUGAGUGAAGAAGGCCUUCGGGUUGUAAAGCUCUUUUGUCAGGGACGAUAAUGACGGUACCUGAAGAAUAAGCCCCGGCAAACUUCGUGCCAGCAGCCGCGGUAA